rnacentral:rRNA from 1 species
UACGGAGGAUGCGAGCGUUAUCCGGAUUUAUUGGGUUUAAAGGGUGCGCAGGCGGAGGCACAAGUCAGCGGUAAAAUCGCGGGGCUCAACCCCGCUCCGCCGUUGAAACUGUGUCCCUUGAGUGCGCGAAGGGUAGGCGGAAUGCGUGGUGUAGCGGUGAAAUGCAUAGAUAUCACGCAGAACUCCGAUCGCGAAGGCAGCCUACCGACGCGCAACUGACGCUCAUGCACGAAAGCGUGGGUAUCGAACAGG